UACGUAGGGUGCAAGUGUUGUCCGGAUUUAUUGGGCGUAAAGAGCUCGUAGGCGGUUCGGUAAGUCGGGUGUGAAACCUCCAGGCUCAACCUGGAGACGCCACCCGAUACUGCUGUGACUUGAGUCCGGUAGGGGAGCGUGGAAUUCCUGGUGUAGCGGUGAAAUGCGCAGAUAUCAGGAGGAACACCAGCGGCGAAGGCGGCGCUCUGGGCCGGAACUGACGCUGAGGAGCGAAAGCGUGGGUAGCAAACAGG
rnacentral:rRNA from 1 species